CUACGUGCCAGCAGCCGCGGUAAUACGUAGGGCGCGAGCGUUGUCCGGAAUUAUUGGGCGUAAAGAGCUUGUAGGCGGUUUGUCGCGUCUGCUGUGAAAGGCCGGGGCUUAACCCCGUGUAUUGCAGUGGGUACGGGCAGACUAGAGUGCAGUAGGGGAGACUGGAACUCCUGGUGUAGCGGUGGAAUGCGCAGAUAUCAGGAAGAACACCGAUGGCGAAGGCAGGUCUCUGGGCUGUAACUGACGCUGAAAAGCGAAAGCAUGGGGAGCGAACAGGAUUAGAUACCCUGGUAGUCCAUGCCGUAAACGUUGGGCACUAGGUGUGGGGGACAUUCCACGUUUUCCGCGCCGUAGCUAACGCAUUAAGUGCCCCGCCUGGGGAGUACGGCCGCAAGGCUAAAACUCAAAGAAAUUGACGGGGGCCCGCACAAGCGGUGGAGCAUGUGGUUUAAUUCGAAGCAACGCGAAGAACCUUACCAGGUCUUGACAUCCC
rnacentral:rRNA from 1 species